CUGUGAUCCUAUCUUCAUACUAUGCUGGACACACCACACAUAGGAUACGCUUUUUCUUGCUCUCUCUGGAGAUCGCUUCCAUACUCAUAUUCUAAACAUUUAAUAAGGCAUCACUCUGGCAAUUGCUUUGCUGGGCUCCCCCUCCACCUGUCCGGCCCGCACUCUCUGACUGGACUUUUGGAUUUUUUCCCAGUUAUACUGUGGGUCCCUGCAGGCCACUCUUGUGGGGCAUCGUUGAGGCCUU